rnacentral:rRNA from 1 species
UCCUGGCUCAGGACGAACGCUGGUGGCGGGCCUAACACAUGCAAGUCGAACGAGGCUUUCCGGUGCUUGCACUGGAAAAUCGAGUGGCGAACGGGUGAGUAAUACAUGAGAAACCUGCCUUGGAGACGGGGACAACCUCGGGAAACUGAGGCUAAUACCCGAUAUCCCUGCCGAGUCGCAUGACUUGGCAAGAAAAUACUCAGGUGCUCCAAGAGGGUCUCAUGCCCUAUCAGCUUGUUGGUGAGGUAAAAGCUCACCAAGGCUUAGACGGGUAGCUGGUCUGAGAGGACGAUCAGCCACACUGGGACUGAGACACGGCCCAGACUCCUACGGGAGGCAGCAGUGGGGAAUCUUGCGCAAUGGGCGAAAGCCUGACGCAGCCACGCCACGUGUGGGACGACGGCCCUCGGGUUGUAAACCACUUUCAGCAGGGACGAAAAUGACGGUACCUGCAGAAGAAGCCCCGGCCAACUACGUGCCAGCAGCCGCGGUAACACGUAGGGGGCGAGCGUUGUCCGGAAUUACUGGGCGUAAAGGGCUCGUAGGCGGUUUGGUAAGUCAGAUGUGAAAACUCCAGGCUCAACUUGGAGACGCCAUCUGAUACUGCCAUGACUAGAGUUUGGUAGAGGAGUGCAGAAUUCCCGGUGUAGCGGUGAAAUGCGCAGAUAUCGGGAGGAAUACCAGUCAGCGAAGGCGGCACUCUNGGCCCACACUGACGCUGAGGAGCGAAAGCGUGGGGAGGCGACAGGAUUAGAUACCCCUGUAGU